GUGCUUCAAGACAUACAGGCCAUGGUUUAAUCAGUGAUAAAGGAAUGAAAUUACGGUGAAUAAUGCAGAGAGCUACAAGGGGUUCUCACGGACGUUGCAGGACGGUGGUGUAAAAAAAGAAUCUUUCAUAAUAAUUUGACAAUCAUCCAAUAAAAUUAAUAAAGUCCCUAAAAUAAAGCAUUGUGAUAAUAUUGCUUGUACGAUCACGCUCACUUCAGCUUCCCAAACCUAUUAUAACCCACACUACCUGAGCAGUGCGCUCACUGCAACUCCCCACACCUAUUAUAACC